CGACGGUGGAUAAGGGCCGUGUGUGUCUCUUUGUCUGUGUUGUGGCUGUAUGAUUGUGGUAUUUGAGAGCUGAAUUUAGUGAUUUUUAUAAUCUCAAGUGAUAGUUACAAGAGCCGUGGGUCCGUAGGCCUACCUUACUCCGGACUUACAGUUAUUUUUGUUUUUACUUUUGUUUUGUUUAUGUUUACGUCGCUUCCCGGAACAGCUGGUGGUUGGCUUCGUGACUUCACAGCAUCGAAAGAGGUGAGCGUCCGGCUGACGCCAGUGCAUGCCAGCGCGCCAUGGCAGGCGGGUGAAUAUUAAUUGGUGAUUUGGUGCUUUUAAUUGCUAGAGAGAGAGAGAGAGAGAGAG